rnacentral:lncRNA from 1 species
UGCUGCAGUUCCCGCCGCCGACGAGGCUCCUACCAAGGUACGUUUAAAUAAAGUAAAUCUGCUCCUCCGCAGCUCGGUCUCCCCCUCAUCCUCUUCCACCUCGCCAUCCUCGCGCCACCCUCCAGAUCUGUGCUCGGUCUCCCCCUCCUCUUCCACCUCGCCUUCCUCGCGCCACCCCCCAGAUCUGUGCUACUCCGACCCGCAUCCACCGUGUCCCGCCUCCGCCUCCUCCUCUACUAUGCAGCCAUCGCAUCCGCCGAUCCAGACAGGUCUUCUUGCGGCGUUGUCGCGUCGACUUCGUCUCCACCGGGAUCCCGACUUGGAGCUCCAUCUUCUUCCCCCAGCGACGGCAACAACCUUAUUCUUCGGUCGCUUGGCGCAUGCUUCAUCACCGGCUUCGUCGCCCCACCCUCAACCGACGCUUGGCGCGGCCUUCCACCUGGGUGUAUGCGUCUUCGGCGCCUCUACGACCCCCCACCGGCGAAUUCGUCGUCGUCAACGCCUUCGUUAUAGCUGUCGUGCUUAUCCGGUCUUUGGACCCAGAUGUAAUUUGGUCUUCCUUGGAGGACCUUUCUGUAAAAUG